AGAGUUUGAUCCUGGCUCAGAUUGAACGCUGGCGGCACGCUUAACACAUGCAAGUCGAGCGGUAACAUGAUUAGUGCUUGCACUAAUUGAUGACGAGCGGCGGACGGGUGAGGAACACGUAGGAACCUGCCCAAGAGAGGGGGAUAACCAAGGGAAACUUUGGCUAAUACCGCAUAAUCUCUACGGAGAAAAGCUGCCCGCAAGGGUAGCGCUUUUGGAGGGGCCUGCGUCCGAUUAGCUUGUUGGUGGGGUAAAAGCUUACCAAGGCGAUGAUCGGUAACUGGUCUGAGAGGACGACCAGUCACACUGGGACUGAGACACGGCCCAGACUCCUACGGGAGGCAGCAGUGGGGAAUCUUGGACAAUGGGGGCAACCCUGAUCCAGCGAUGCCGCGUGGGUGAAGAAGGCCUUCGGGUUGUAAAGCCCUUUAGGCUGGGAAGAAGGAUGCGGGGUGAAUAAUCCUGUAUUUUGACGGUACCAGCAGAAUAAGCACCGGCAAACUCUGUGCCAGCAGCCGCGGUAAUACAGAGGGUGCGAGCGUUAAUCGGAUUUACUGGGCGUAAAGGGCGCGUAGGCGGUCGUAUGAGUGUGAUGUGAAAGCCCCGGGCUCAACCUGGGAAGUGCAUCGCAAACGAUACGACUGGGGUAUAUGAGAGGGUGGCGGAAUUUCCGGUGUAGCGGUGAAAUGCGUAGAGAUCGGAAGGAACGUCAAUGGCGAAGGCAGCCACCUGGCAUAAUACUGACGCUGAGGCGCGAAAGCGUGGGGAGCGAACAGGAUUAGAUACCCUGGUAGUCCACGCCGUAAACGAUGAGAACUAAAUGUUGGGGGGGGAACCCUUCAGUAUUGAAGCUAACGCGAUAAGUUCUUCGCCUGGGAAGUACAGUCGCAAGACUGAAACUCAAAGGAAUUGACGG
rnacentral:rRNA from 1 species